CCUUCCUGACUGCCACAGUGUGGAACUGGCAGCGAGAGAGAGCUGUGCCUGCUACCAGCUGCCGUUUCCCAGUCGGCGUACGGAGAGCCAGACAGACGCUGGCAGCCGGGCAGAUGCGAGCAAGCAGAGAGGCAAAGAUUCAGCGUCUGGGCGAUGUCUCGGACGCGAGCGAGGAGCAAAAGGCGAUCGUCUUCUUUCUUGCGGACCCUCGUAAAUCCAAGUGUUUUGUUUUGCCCUGCCGAUUCUCCUUCGGGUUCCUGGGAGGACAUUUUUCGUUUGUCUGCGGGGAGUAGACAAGACCGAGGAUGUGUAGAAGAAAAACUUGGAUGUACACUCUGGGAAGGAAGAGAGAGGAUUUAGCAUUUGCCCAUAGUCCGAUGCCAAAAGCCAGAUGCCUUACAGCGCACAUUCGCCGCUCUGCAACCCCUGUGUAUCUGCCUUGCCGGUUUCUGCAAAGACAAAAGAACUCUCUUCUCCGGUCCUCCUCGUCUACACCACUCCUCCCGCGUUUUUAAGCGUUGCGUUUUCUGCUUGCGGGAUCCUCCAGGUUCCAGGCCCGGCUCUCGGCAUUCCUGUACUCCCACCCUGGGUCCAAACACACCUUGAUUCUGACGUUGUCACUGUCCAUCCAGCGGCAGGGUCGCGGAGACGAAAGCCAAACCCGCCGAAAGCCCUUCCAGACAGGCGCACGAAGGGCUUGCAGGUUGCAGUCAUCUGUACAUCGUGGGGAGGAUCCUGGUGGAUGCCGCUGUGACUGGCAACAUUCCGGCUGGACUGUCGGUUUGCCGGCAGACAUGAAAUGCGUCGUCUGUUUCGAGCGGAUGAGCUCGUCUGCUACGAGGGACGGAGGAUCACUGGAGAUGGCAGGGAGGGGGGCGAGCGCCACGCUCUGUUUAUCAGCCUUCAUCAGCCUCCCCGCGCUGGGCGGAGCAGAGCCGCCGUUGCUGCAGGGUGGAUGAUGUCUGUCUGGCGCACGGCGGGCGAGGCGGCUGCUGUGAUGGAGUAGACGCAGAGCUGCAGGGGAUGACAGACAACAAAGGAAGAGCUCUACGACGCAUGCCUCUUCAUCCUCCAGAUUAUGACAAGAGCAUCCUCUCAUCCCUCUCUCAUCCAUCUCUCACUCCUCUCU